rnacentral:miRNA from 1 species
AUUCUAAUUUCUCCACGUCUUUG